rnacentral:rRNA from 1 species
AGUGAACGCUGGCGGCGUGCCUAAUACAUACAAGUCGAAGGAAGUGGCGCACGGGUGGGUAAUAUAUAGCUAAUCUGCCCCUUGCUGGGGGACAACAGUUAGAAAUGACUGCUAAUACUCCAUAGCAAGGGUUGAGACUAUAUCGUAUCAGGUAGUCGGUGGGGUAACGGCCUACCGAGGCUAUGACGCGUAACUGGUCUGAGAGGAUGAUCAGUCACAUUGGAACUGAGACACGGUCCGAAAUCUUACGGGAUGGAGCAGUAGGGAAUAUUGCGCAAUGGGGGAAACCCUGACGCAGCAAGGCCUGGAGGAGGAUGACACUUUUCGGAGAGUAAACUACUUUUGUUAGGGAAGCGGUACCUAACGAAUAAGCACCGGCUAACCCCGUGCCAGCAGCCGCGUAAUUC